rnacentral:lncRNA from 12 species
AAACAUUUUUGGGGGGCCAUAUGGUUAUUUUAAAUAAAUAUUUGGUUUGAGGAAUGGGUAGCAUUUGAAUCCAUUCCUAUUUUUCCUCUAACUGCUUUUCCUUGCCAAGAGAGUAGAAUUAAACUUGACUUGCUCAUAUUUAUCCUCCAGCCCUGAUAAUUUCUUAGAGUAUUUGCUGUUUGUGCCUUUGAUGGCAUAGUCUGCAGCCCCAGGAUGUACUGUUGCAGAGAAGAGAGCUAGGGUUUAAGUAAGUUUGAUGUGAGGUUUCUGUUUGUCUAAUUCAGUGAGUCAUUAGCCAAGAGUUUUUCCCUGAGUAAUUAGCUAUUCUUUCAGUUUCUCUCUUGGUGAUCACUACUGUUUUCCAGUGGCCAUAGACCAAAGGAUCAUUUAAUGUAAAAUAACUAGGGAGAAGAAUGAGUGUGUCUGCUUGUAUCAGCUUCAAGAAUGACCCUUUCUUGUCAGUGGAAUGUGGGUUGGAAUGAGUAAGAUUGAAUCCAAUUUUUCCUUUAAUUCUGAUAAAAUCAAGCAAACUUUAAACCAAAGAAUUGGUUUAAAGGAUGGAGGUUUAAAGGUUUAAGGUUUACAUGAUGGAGAGAAAUACAUUAGUGCUUUUGUGAAAUCAGGUCAAAAUACAGCAUUGUUGCAAACAAAGAGAGCAAAUAUGGACAAGUUGGCCUCACAUGUCUCCAUGAGAUUGUAAACAUCAGUAACAGGGAGUCAGACAAACAGAGCAAUUGGAACUAUGGAAACAUUACUGUUCCCAAACAAACUCUGUGAAAUUACAAGCCCAGAGAACACCCACGGAGCUCUCAAACAGGGUUCCAAAGAAGACGAGACUACUAACUUCUAAGGAAGCAACAAUAGGAAAGGAAAAACCCAGCUGGGCUGAGCUUGCCCUUCUCAGCUGGCACUAGAAUAAUACUGCUUGAAGAAAACAACGUGAAGUCUGGGAGUCAGAGAGCCACAAUAAAAGCUGUAUUAUAGCAAGGAGUGGGGAAAAGGUAAAAUUAGGUUGGAGCAAGAAGAUUGUGAAAUCUCAUGUUCCACAAUGGUCCGCUGAGCAAGUCAAAAUAGAGUUCGAUCUCCAUGAUUCAAAAUCUCCCAAUGGACAGGAAACAGAUGGUGUGAACCAGCAAGCAAAAAGAAAUGAGAGAACACGUCCUCAACAGCUUUCAUUCUCCUCUGUUUCUUGUUCUUUUGUCUGCUCUGCAUGUAACACCAGUCUUCAAGUCCUGACUGCUCCUCCACCAUGGGUGAUGAAAUUACUACAUUCUGCUUAUGUGAUUACCUCCACUUGGUUUCUGGGAGCUGCUGCCAAAAUCUAGACAUCUAAAGAGCAUGAUAUGAAUAGACUUUUCAGGAAAGCAAGAGUCAUAUUCUCAAGCAAUACAUCAAUGUUUAUUCUGUUUCUUGAACAGCUUCUUAAUUCUCAUUGGAGUUUAUUAGUCACCCUUGUUCUCAGUUGAUUAAAUUUGUUUGUAGUUGCCUCCAAGAUUAUAUUGACAGAUAUUCCUCCUUACAAUUUAAUAGCAACAUUUUUGCAGAGUAUGAGCUGACAUGAUAAGACAAAUGGAGAAAGUGAAUGCAUCACACUGUAUAGAUCUGAUUCAUUUUUCCUCCUAUCUCCUUAUUUAUUUCUGCCAUGAUUGGGAACCAAAUGAACAGGACGACAUUUGGGUUUUGUAAGAUAACUAUUAUUUUUGAUUUAUGGUUUCAUAUUUUUUAAAGUAAACACAAUAAAUAUAAAAAUAAAAGUUACUUGGUAUGAUUU